rnacentral:rRNA from 1 species
GACGAACGCUGGCGGCGUGCUUAACACAUGCAAGUCGAGCGGAGAGACUUUUCGGCACCGGCUGCUGAGGCAGAGCGGAAGUGGAAGCGAAGGGCGGAGCGAGAGCGAGGCAGGGAGCGGAAGCGGAAGUGAGGGACUGGAAGUGCGGGUUACGGCCAACACGGAAGGCAGGAUGUCACAGGAGCAGGUGCUGAGAAGACUUUUAGCGGCGGACGGGUGAGUAACGCGUGAACAAUCUGUCCCGAACAGGGGGAUAACAGAUGGAAACAUCUGCUAAUACCGCAUAAGACCACGCACCCGCAUGGGUGUGGGGUAAAAGGAGCAAUCCGGUUUGGGGUGAGUUCGCGUCUGAUUAGCUAGUUGGCGGGGUAACGGCUCACCAAGGCGACGAUCAGUAGCCGACCUGAGAGGGUGAUCGGCCACACUGGAACUGAGAAACGGUCCAGACUCCUACGGGAGGCAGCAGUGGGGAAUAUUGGGCAAUGGGCGAAAGCCUGACCG